UUUGGCUUGUAUUGGUGCGUCGGAUCCCUGCCAGUGCAGCGACGACGUGCCUAUCUCGCCUGCUCAGUCGGUCGGCCAAGUGCGUUAGCCUUGGCCGUUCUUGGUUUUCCUGUGUUGUAUACCUACUGUGAGGGAAUUCAGUCGGCUAAAAUGUCUCGUAUCCGUCUUGUGCCGCGCCUCUUGGGGCUGCGGCAUGGGGUGGACCUCCAAGCACCCGCCGUGUUCCACUUCCCGUGCGUUUCAACACGCGUUCGGGUCGUUGGCCCACGGCGCUGUGCUCGAUAUCUCGGAUGUGGAAAAUUGAAAGGGCACGAGGCCUCGGCCUCUAUUUGCCCCGAAACAAAGCGUUCUACGCUUCUUGCGAACGACGAUCGUCGCCGUUUUGAUCCGGUCCUCGUGGCUUGGCUCAUGCGGUGCCGACGUCGAUGAGGAAUGCUACCUGGUUGAUCCUGCCAG
rnacentral:misc_RNA from 1 species